rnacentral:piRNA from 1 species
UCCAGACUUGGUAGAUGUGGCUGA